UGCAAGUCGAGCGGAAACGAUCCUAGCUUGCUAGGAGGCGUCGAGCGGCGGACGGGUGAGUAAUGCAUAGGAAUCUGCCCGGUAGUGGGGGAUAACCUGAGGAAACUCAGGCUAAUACCGCAUACGUCCUACGGGAGAAAGCAGGGGCUCUUCGGACCUUGCGCUAUCGGAUGAGCUUAUGUCGGAUUAGCUGGUUGGUGAGGUAACGGCUCACCAAGGCGACGAUCCGUAGCUGGUCUGAGAGGAUGAUCAGCCACAUCGGGACUGAGACACGGCCCGAACUCCUACGGGAGGCAGCAGUGGGGAAUAUUGGACAAUGGGGGCAACCCUGAUCCAGCCAUGCCGCGUGUGUGAAGAAGGCCCUCGGGUUGUAAAGCACUUUCAGUGAGGAAGAAGGCUUGUCGGUUAAUACCCGGCAAGAAAGACAUCACUCACAGAAGAAGCACCGGCUAACUCCGUGCCAGCAGCCGCGGUAAUACGGAGGGUGCGAGCGUUAAUCGGAAUUACUGGGCGUAAAGCGUGCGUAGGCGGCUUGAUAAGCCGGUUGUGAAAGCCCCGGGCUCAACCUGGGAACGGCAUCCGGAACUGUCAGGCUAGAGUGCAGGAGAGGAAGGUAGAAUUCCCGGUGUAGCGGUGAAAUGCGUAGAGAUCGGGAGGAAUACCAGUGGCGAAGGCGGCCUUCUGGACUGACACUGACGCUGAGGUACUAAAGCGUGGGUAGCAAACAGGAUUAGAUACCCUGGUAGUCCACGCCGUAAACGAUGUCGACUAGCCGUUGGGGUCCUCGAGACCUUUGUGGCGCAGUUAACGCACUAAGUCGACCGCCUGGUGAGUUCGGUCUCAAGGUUAAAACUCAUAUGAAUUGACGGUGGUCCUCACAAUCGGUGUAU
rnacentral:rRNA from 1 species